AAAAAGUUGUUAUUUUUUCUCUAAGAUUCCAGUGUUCGUCUCCUCAAUCCUCUUCUUUAUCUCUGGAAAAGAACAAGCUCUUGCUGGUUGCCGGAGCCUCUACCGGCAAGAAUCUCGGCCUCUUCUGCUUCGACGAAGAUGACACCCAAGCCCUGCUCAGCCAGGUUUCCACGGUGAACCCUCCCAUGCGUGACGGCCCCAAACAUGCUAACCCUAACCCUUUUCCCCCGAGCUCCAAUCAGCACUGUUUCUGUUGGAUCCGACGAAGACGGCGACGCCGGACUCUUCUGCUUCCUCUCUUUUGCCAGAGCUGCUCACCAUCUCCUCCUAGUUGUGCAUGGUUGAAAUCUGUUGCAGCUGCAAGAGACGAAGCCCGUCGUGUACCACUGCUCGACCCCGCUAUCUCCUUUGACUCUGUGAUUCCAAAUUUGGGUUGUUGGUGGCAGGGACGCAAAUUGAGGCUGUGAUUUUGGCUGAUCGUGUUGAUGGUGGCUACGUACUUAAUGGAAACAAGAAUUAUAGCACAUUUGACUAAUAGUCUAGACAGAUGCUGAGAAUGGAUAGCAAAUUUAAAUCAGGUUGUCUAUGCAAAGACAGACAUAACAGCUGGGUCAAAAGGAAUCACUGCAUUCAUCAUCGAGAAGGGAAUGCCGGGAUUCAGCACAGCCCAGAAAUUGGAUAAACUUGGGAUGCGAGGAAGUGAUACAUGUGAACUCUUGUUUGAGAAUUGCUUCGUUCCUGAAGAAAUGUUCUUGGGGAAGUAGGAAAAGGAGUCUAUGUCAUGAUGUCUGGGUUGGAUCUGGAGAGACUUGUUUUGGCAGCUGGUCCCCUGGGUAUCAUGCAGGCAUGUCUUGAUGUGAUCCUUCCUUAUGUUCGACAAAGAGAGCAGUUUGGUCGUCCUAUCGGCAAUUUCAGUUUAUACAGGAUUGUGCUGGAAUUAUACUUACUGCAGCUGAGAGUGCAACCCAAGUUGCUUUGCAGGCAAAACAAUGUUUGGGAGGAAAUGGAUAUGUGAAUGAGUAUCCAACUGGUCGUCUUCUGAUAGAUGCCAAACUAUAUGAGAUUGGUGCAGGAACUAAUGAGAUCAGAAGAAUGAUUAUUGGACGUGAACUCUUCAAGGAGCAGUAAUGAAAUGUUUAUUAUGUAACAGUAAAAUUCAUUCAUCAAAGGGGACUAAAAUUAGUCAUGAGAAUCCAUUAUUAAUGAAG